rfam:Chaetura pelagica isolate M959 contig34704, whole genome shotgun sequence.
CAGCCUGAAGUGAUGAAUGAGUUCAUGUCUCUUCUCUGAGAUGGAUCCUGGAGACAUCUAUAUUCAUUCCUGAUCAGGCUG